rnacentral:lncRNA from 1 species
CCAAAUGCUGGCAUCCAUCAGUAGAUGCCAUCAGCGCAGAUCCUCAUUAGAGUCAUCAUCCUCUUCCUCCUGGGCAUCCUUAAAGUCUUCAUCCUCUUGGUCAUCGUCUUGUCCUCCUGAAGUCCCAGCUGCUCCAGACUCACUACCAUGUGCCUAUCCCUGAGGCCAAGCCAUCACACUACGGAACUCGUCCAUACUCCACCUGUACACUGGUGGCUGGUCAUAAAGUCCUAUGAUCAUCUCGGCAGUGGCCACCUGCCCUCUGCAAAGGGACUCCAUCCUCGCC